AAUGUUUAUCAAGUAAAAUGUAUUGCUUGCAAUAAUUAUGUCACUUACACUUGUAUGAAAGAUGUAUGAAAUAUGUAUGAAAUGAAUUAUUGCUUUGUUUUUAAUGUUUUGAUUGAGGGUUGAACUAACGAUGCAUAUAAAGAUAAGUUCAAAAACAUAAAGACAGUCAUGAGAUCAGGAAACUUAUAUGAUGCGGUUAUAUCUAUCUCGUUGAGAUCCUGUGCAUGUUCCACGCUGAACAAAGCCUGUUGUCCCGAGAAGAGAUUGGGUCAGAAUACCAGGGUAUGUAAAUACCUAUAAAUAAAGUAGUAACAUUAUUGACAAUUGCAGUGUUAUAUAUAGAAUCUAAGACAUAUACUUCAUGAGAUAUUUCCCCAGUAGCAUUGUUCCUCUACACAAGAC
rnacentral:lncRNA from 1 species